rnacentral:rRNA from 1 species
AUUGAACGCUGGCGGCAGGCUUAACACAUGCAAGUCGAGCGAGCGGCGGACGGGUGAGUAAUGUCUGGGAAACUGCCUGAUGGAGGGGGAUAACUACUGGAAACGGUAGCUAAUACCGCAUACCCUCAGAUGUGCCCAGAUGGGAUUAGCUAGUAGUGGGGGUAAUGGCUCACCUAGGCGACGAUCCCUAGCUGGUCUGAGAGGAUGACCGUCCACACUGUAACGGAGACACGGUCCAGACUCCUACGGGAGGCAGCAGUGGGGAAUAUUGCAACAUGGGCGCAAGCCGGAUGCAGCCAUGCCGCGUGUGUGAAGAAGGCCUUCGGGUUGUAAAGCACUUUCAGCGAGUAGGCGUUACUCGCAGAAGAAGCACCGGCUAACUCCGUGCCAGCCGCCGCGGUAAUUC